GUACUGAUGAAGAGUGCCAAACUGGGACGAAACGGCCGUCCGGUGC
rnacentral:hammerhead_ribozyme from 1 species